rnacentral:rRNA from 1 species
AUUGAACGCUGGCGGCAGGCCUAACACAUGCAAGUCGAGCGAGCGGCGGCCGGGUGAGUAAUGUAUGGGGGCUGACCGCUAGAGGGGGAGAAAUACUGGAAACGACAGGUAAUACCGCAUACUAUCGGAUAACCCAUAUGGGAUUAGCUAGUAGGUGAGGUAAUGGCUCAACUGUGUGACGAUCCCUAGCUGGUCUGAGAGGAUGAUCAGCCACACUGGGACGCAGACACGGCCCAGACUCCUACGGAGGCAGCAGUGGGGAAUAUUGCACAAUGGGCGCAAGCCCGAUGCAGCCAUGCCGGGUGUAUGAAGAAGGCCCUAGGGUUGUAAAGUACUUUCAGCCGGGAGGCGUUACCGACAGAAGAAGCACCGGUUAACGCCGUGCCAGCAGCCGCGGUAAUAC